GCUUUUAAAGGAUAAUAGAGAUCCACUGGUCUUAGGACCCAGGCACUCUUGGUGCAAGUCCAAGUAAAAGCA
rnacentral:tRNA from 1 species